rnacentral:rRNA from 1 species
GAUGAACGCUGGCGGCAUGCCUAAUACAUGCAAGUCGAACGAAGUCUUUAGAAAGCUUGCUUUUAAAAGACUUAGUGGCGAACGGGUGAGUAACACGUAGGGAACCUGCCCAUGUACCCGGGAUAACAGAUGGAAACGUCUGCUAAAACCGGAUAGGUAUAGACAAGGCAUCUUGACUAUAUUAAAGGACCUUCGGGUGUGGACAUGGAUGGACCUGCGGCGUAUUAGCCAGUUGGCGGGGUAACGGCCCACCAAAGCGAUGAUACGUAGCCGGCCUGAGAGGGUAGACGGCCACAUUGGGACUGAGACACGGCCCAA